rnacentral:rRNA from 1 species
GUAGGUGGCAAGCGUUGUCCGGGAAUUAUUGGGGCGUAAAGCGCGCGCAGGCGGUCCUUUAAGGUCUGAUGUGAAAGCCCACGGGCUCAACCGUGGAGGGUCAUUGGAAACUGGGGGACUUGAGUACAGAAGAGGAAAGCGGAAUUCCAAGUGUAGCGGCGAAAUGCGUAGAGAUUUGGAGGAACACCAGUGGCGAAGGCGGCUUUCUGGUCUGUAACUGACGCUGAGGCGCGAAAGCGUGGGGAGCAAACAGGAUUAGAUACCCUGGUAGUCCACGCCGCAAACGAUGAGUGCUAAGUGUUAGGGGGUUUCCGCCCCUUAGUGCUGCAGCUAACGCAUUAAGCACUCCGCCUGGGGAGUACGGCCGCAAAGGCUGA